GCGCGUGGUUAAUUCGACGGCAAUCGAAGAACCUUACCAGGGUUUGUAAAUGUUAUCUGCAUGCCCUAGAAAUAGGGAGGCUUUCGAAGGUGAUACACAGGUGCUGCAUGGCCGUCGUCAGCUCGUGUCGUGAGAUGUUGGGUUAAGUCCCGAAACGAGCGCAACCCCUAUCCUAUGUUACAAGUGUCUUAGGAAACUGCCUCGGUAAAACGGGAGGAAGGUGGGGAUGACGUCUGGUCCGCAUAGCCCUUAUGUCCUGGGCGACACACGCGCUACAAUGGCCGAUACAAUGGGAAGCCAAAUCGUAAGAUGGAGCAAAUCCUAAAAAGUCGGUCUCAGUUCGGAUUGAGGUCUGAAACUCGACCUCAUGAAGUUGGAUUCGCUAGUAAUCGUGGAUCAGCCAUGCCACGGUGAAUACGUUCUCGGGUCUU
rnacentral:rRNA from 1 species